rnacentral:ncRNA from 2 species
UAAGAGGGAACCCGGUGGGAAUCCGGGACUGCCCCGCAGCGGUGAGCGGGAACGACCGCCGUCCUACGCACUGGGUCCGUCAAGGGCCUGGGAAGCGACGGCCAGUAGGUGUGGGGCCCCUGUCGGGGCGCACGUGCCCGCGAGUCCGAAGACCU